UACGGGGGGAGCAAGCGUUGUUUGGAUUUACUGGGCGUAAAGGGCGCGUAGGCGGCCACCGCAAGUCGACUGUGAAAUCUCCGGGCUUAACCCGGAAAGGUCAGCCGAUACUGCGGGGCUAGAGUGCAGAAGGGGCAACUGGAAUUCUCGGUGUAGCGGUGAAAUGCGUAGAUAUCGAGAGGAACACCUGCGGCGAAGGCGGGUUGCUGGGCCGACACUGACGCUGAGGCGCGAAAGCUAGGGGAGCGAACGGG
rnacentral:rRNA from 1 species